AUCACAAAAAUCAAGUAAUUCAGGAAAUAUAUUGAUUGGAUAAAUGAUUGUGGAAUUCUGUAUGUAGAACUUCUUAAGUCUAUGCUUCAGUGUCCCAUUGAAGCUGUCAAGAGAAAGAAAUGAAGAAGCUGUGCCAAAAAAGAAAUGUCAGGCGAACUAAACUAUAAAAGUCCUCAUAGUUUAAUCAUUUCAUUGACCCAGAUAUGACAAGCUCCAUAAGAGCAGUUUGAUUUAUGAGUUCCUGCGAAGUUACCAAAAGAAGAAACUUGAAAACAGCUUUGGCUAAAAUAAGUGUUAUGUUACACUUACUUCCCAUGAAGAACCUCUGGAGCAAGAAUGCCUAAUCGAGUUAAAAAUUCAUGAAAGGUCCUGUGAGUGGGGAAUCCAGCACAUUUUAUUCUCACUGCUUCAAGAACAC